rnacentral:lncRNA from 1 species
GACAGAUUUCGCUGUCGCCCAAGCAAACGAAAUGACGAAGCAGCAGGCCAUCCUAGAGUUCACCAAGGAUGAUGCCUAUGUGAAGGCCAACCAACGGUUCAUACGACAGGAACUGGCAGGGACCGGCGCCCUUUUCAACGAGGUCGAAGCGGAGGUCGCCGUGAAGGUUCCAGAGCUGCAGUUGUCGCCCAUGUACCCGAUGCCGAGCACGGAAAUAAUGAACAUCUCCGACGAGGAUUAGGCUAGUUGAUCUAUGUAGUAUGUAAGAUUUUUUUUCUUUGUAUACUUUUACAUGAACAUAAGAAUUUUAAUAUGAG